rnacentral:rRNA from 1 species
AUGCACGCUGGCGGCGUGCCUAACCCAUGCAAGUCGAACGGAGAUUACGGACGGAAGUUUUCGGAUGGAAGCCUGUAAUUCUUAGUGGCGGACGGGUGAGUAACGCGUGGGCAACCUGCCCUAUACAGGGGGAUAGCAGCUGGAAACGGCUGGUAAGACCGCAUAAGUCGGUUAAAUCGCAUGAUUUGAUCGGGAAAUGAGCAAUCAGGUAUAGGAUGGGCCCGCGUCCGAUUAGCCAGUUGGCAGGGUAAAAGCCUACCAAAGCGACGAUCGGUAGCCGGACUGAGAGGUCGGACGGCCACAUUGGGACUGAGACACGGCCCAAACUCCUACGGGAGGCAGCAGUGGGGGAUAUUGCACAAUGGAGGAAACUCUGAUGCAGCGACGCCGCGUGAGUGAAGAAGUAUUUCGGUAUGUAAAGCUCUAUCAGCAGGGAAGAUGAUGACGGUACCUGACUAAGAAGCCCCGGCUAACUACGUG